rnacentral:rRNA from 1 species
GAUGAACGCUGGCGGCGUGCCUAAUACAUGCAAGUCGAGCGAACGGACGAGAAGCUUGCUUCUCUGAUGUUAGCGGCGGACGGGUGAGUAACACGUGGAUAACCUACCUAUAAGACUGGGAUAACUUCGGGAAACCGGAGCUAAUACCGGAUAAUAUUUUGAACCGCAUGGUUCAAAAGUGAAAGACGGUCUUGCUGUCACUUAUAGAUGGAUCCGCGCUGCAUUAGCUAGUUGGUAAGGUAACGGCUUACCAAGGCAACGAUGCAUAGCCGACCUGAGAGGGUGAUCGGCCACACUGGAACUGAGACACGGUCCAGACUCCUACGGGAGGCAGCAGUAGGGAAUCUUCCGCAAUGGGCGAAAGCCUGACGGAGCAACGCCGCGUGAGUGAUGAAGGUCUUCGGAUCGUAAAACUCUGUUAUUAGGGAAGAACAUAUGUGUAAGUAACUGUGCACAUCUUGACGGUACCUAAUCAGAAAGCCACGGCUAACUACGUGCCAGCAGCCGCGGUAAUACGUAGGUGGCAAGCGUUAUCCGGAAUUAUUGGGCGUAAAGCGCGCGUAGGCGGUUUUUUAAGUCUGAUGUGAAAGCCCACGGCUCAACCGUGGAGGGUCAUUGGAAACUGGAAAACUUGAGUGCAGAAGAGGAAAGUGGAAUUCCAUGUGUAGCGGUGAAAUGCGCAGAGAUAUGGAGGAACACCAGUGGCGAAGGCGACUUUCUGGUCUGUAACUGACGCUGAUGUGCGAAAGCGUGGGGAUCAAACAGGAUUAGAUACCCUGGUAGUCCACGCCGUAAACGAUGAGUGCUAAGUGUUAGGGGGUUUCCGCCCCUUAGUGCUGCAGCUAACGCAUUAAGCACUCCGCCUGGGGAGUACGACCGCAAGGUUGAAACUCAAAGGAAUUGACGGGGACCCGCACAAGCGGUGGAGCAUGUAGUUUAAUUCGAAGCAACGCGAAGAACCUUACCAAAUCUUGACAUCCUUUGACAACUCUAGAGAUAGAGCCUUCCCCUUCGGGGGACAAAGUGACAGGUGGUGCAUGGUUGUCGUCAGCUCGUGUCGUGAGAUGUUGGGUUAAGUCCCGCAACGAGCGCAACCCUUAAGCUUAGUUGCCAUCAUUAAGUUGGGCACUCUAAGUUGACUGCCGGUGACAAACCGGAGGAAGGUGGGGAUGACGUCAAAUCAUCAUGCCCCUUAUGAUUUGGGCUACACACGUGCUACAAUGGACAAUACAAAGGGCAGCGAAACCGCGAGGUCAAGCAAAUCCCAUAAAGUUGUUCUCAGUUCGGAUUGUAGUCUGCAACUCGACUACAUGAAGCUGGAAUCGCUAGUAAUCGUAGAUCAGCAUGCUACGGUGAAUACGUUCCCGGGUCU